GACGAACGCUGGCGGCGUGCUUAACACAUGCAAGUCGAACGGAAAGGCCCUGCUUUUGUGGGGUGCUCGAGUGGCGAACGGGUGAGUAACACGUGAGUAACCUGCCCUUGACUUUGGGAUAACUUCAGGAGACUGGGGCUAAUACCGGAUAGGAGCUCCUGCUGCAUGGUGGGGGUUGGAAAGUUUCGGCGGUUGGGGAUGGACUCGCGGCUUAUCAGCUUGUUGGUGGGGUAGUGGCUUACCAAGGCUUUGACGGGUAGCCGGCCUGAGAGGGUGACCGGCCACAUUGGGACUGAGAUACGGCCCAGACUCCUACGGGAGGCAGCAGUGGGGAAUAUUGCACAAUGGGCGGAAGCCUGAUGCAGCAACGCCGCGUGCGGGAUGACGGCCUUCGGGGUGUAAACCGCUUUCGCCUGUGACGAAGCGUGAGUGACGGUAAUGGGUAAAGAAGCACCGGCUAACUACGUG
rnacentral:rRNA from 1 species